GAUGUAGAACGUAGCGAAAUGCGAUACGUAAUGUGAAUUGCAGAAUUCAGUGAAUCAUCGAAUCUUUGAACGCAUAUUGCGCUCUUUGGUAUUCCGAAGAGCAUGCUUGUUUGAGUAUCAGUAAACACCUCAACCUCUUCUUGAUUUUUCAAAAGGAGGGUGGACUUGAGCUAUCCCAACAACCUUUACCGGUCGGCGGGCGGCUUGAAAUGCAGGUGCAGCUGGACUUUUAUCUGAGCUAAAAGCAUAUCUAUUUAGUCCUCGUCAAACAGGAUUAUUACUUUUGCUGCAGCUAACAUAAAGGAUAAUUGUCCUCUUUGCUGACUGAUGCAGGAUUUUACGACACUUUAUGUGUUGUUCAACUCGAUCUCAAAUCAAGUAAGACUACCCGCUGAACUUAAGCAUAUCAAUAAGCGGAGGA
rnacentral:misc_RNA from 1 species